ACUAUAAGUCCUCCCAAAACAAAGCCACCAACAAAGAUACCAGCACUGCUUGGCCUUCCAGUGUCACUAUUUGCUGCUUUAACUGUGAAUGCCCUUCUGGAGGUAGUAAGUUGCAGUUUUCCUGAACAAUUCAAACUGAAUGACAAAUUGGUGAGCAUGGAACUCUGGAGACAUUUAUCCAAUGGGCCAGGAGAUAACUGAACCCCAGGAUUUGUCGUUAGAACCAAAGAAUUUGAGAGAGCUGUCAUUGUUAUCGUCGAAAGAGAGUAGAGAGUGAGUGCAGUGGAAAAGUUAAGAGGGUUAGGGUUGGUCGAACUAACUAUAAAUUAAACUAGGCGACGGUGAGGGAUCGAUAAUUUCUAAGCUUCAGCCUCAGCUUCCUCUUCAGUCAGAUGAAUGGAUGAAUGAUACACUAUGUAUUCAUCG
rnacentral:misc_RNA from 1 species